rnacentral:rRNA from 1 species
AGUGAACGCUGGCGGUAGGCCUAACACAUGCAAGUCGAACGGCAGCACAGUAAGAGCUUGCUCUUACGGGUGGCGAGUGGCGGACGGGUGAGGAAUACAUCGGAAUCUACUUUUUCGUGGGGGAUAACGUAGGGAAACUUACGCUAAUACCGCAUACGACCUACGGGUGAAAGCAGGGGAUCUUCGGACCUUGCGCGAUUGAAUGAGCCGAUGUCGGAUUAGCUGGUUGGCGGGGUAAAGGCCCACCAAGGCGACGACCCGUAGCUGGUCUGAGAGGAUGAUCAGCCACACUGGAACUGAGACACGGUCCAGACUCCUACGGGAGGCAGCAGUGGGGAAUAUUGGACAAUGGGCGCAAGCCUGAUCCAGCCAUACCGCGUGGGUGAAGAAGGCCUUCGGGUUGUAAAGCCCUUUUGUUGGGAAAGAAAAGCAGCAGGUUAAUACCCCGCUGUUCUGACGGUACCCAAAGAAUAAGCACCGGCUAACUUCGUG